rnacentral:rRNA from 1 species
ACUCAAAGGAAUUGACGGGGACCCGCACAAGCGGUGGAUGAUGUGGAUUAAUUCGAUGCAACGCGAAAAACCUUACCUACGUUUGACAUGCCAGGAAGGCCGGAGAGAUCUGGUUGUGCCCGAAAGGGAACCUGGACACAGGUGCUGCAUGGCUGUCGUCAGCUCGUGUCGUGAGAUGUUGGGUUAAGUCCCGCAACGAGCGCAACCCUUAUCAUUAGUUGCUACGCAAGGGCACUCUAAUGAGACUGCCGGUGACAAACCGGAGGAAGGUGGGGAUGACGUCAAGUCCUCAUGGCCCUUAUACGUAGGGCUUCACACGUCAUACAAUGGUCGGUACAGAGGGUCGCCAACCCGCGAGGGGGAGCCAAUCCCAGAAAACCGAUCGUAGUCCGGAUUGCACUCUGCAACUCGAGUGCAUGAAGUCGGAAUCGCUAGUAAUCGCGGAUCAGCAUGUCGCGGUGAAUACGUUCCCGGGUCUUGUACACACCGCCCGU